rnacentral:rRNA from 1 species
AUUGAACGCUGGCGGCAGGCCUAACACAUGCAAGUCGAACGGUAACAGGAAGACGCUUGCUUCUUUGCUGACGAGUGGCGGACGGGUGAGUAAUGUCUGGGAAACUGCCUGAUGGAGGGGGAUAACUACUGGAAACGGUAGCUAAUACCGCAUAACGUCGCAAGACCAAAGAGGGGGACCUUCGGGCCUCUUGCCAUCGGAUGUGCCCAGAUGGGAUUAGCUAGUAGGUGGGGUAACGGCUCACCUAGGCGACGAUCCCUAGCUGGUCUGAGAGGAUGACCAGCCACACUGGAACUGAGACACGGUCCAGACUCCUACGGGAGGCAGCAGUGGGGAAUAUUGCACAAUGGGCGCAAGCCUGAUGCAGCCAUGCCGCGUGUAUGAAGAAGGCCUUCGGGUUGUAAAGUACUUUCAGCGGGGAAGAAGGGAGUAAAGUUAAUACCUUUGCGCAUUGACGUUACCCGCAGAAGAAGCACCGGCUAACUCCGUG